GAGAGAGAGAGAGAGAGAAUGAAUAAUGGCACUGACUCCUAGGAGACGUAGGAUGGAGAAAGAUAAAUUCCUUGAGUCACUGAAGCUCAGAGAACUGUUAAAACCGUUGGAAUGUGGAACCAACUGCCCCAUCUUCGUAAUCUCCCCUUUCUAAAGGGAAUAGAUUUCUCGCACAGUUUCCAGAGUUUGUUCCAUCUGGGGAUGACAGAAAAGCACAAAACCACCGUGGCUUUCUCAGAGUUGUGGUUUACUACUGCAUUCUUCUGCCAAAUGAUUGAAAAAUCCCACCCAGCAUCCAUGGAAGCUUCAGAAGCCAAUAGAGGUUUUCUGUGAGUAGCUGCAUAAGAAACUCCAGAUUUUUUACCCAAUCCACACUUUGGAAUAAAAUCAAUGAACUUUUCA
rnacentral:lncRNA from 1 species